AGAACGAACGCUGGCGGCAGGCUUAACACAUGCAAGUCGAGCGCCGUAGCAAUACGGAGCGGCAGACGGGUGAGUAACGCGUGGGAACAUACCCUUCGGUUCGGAAUAAUUCAGGGAAACUUGGACUAAUACCGGAUACGGACGAGAGUCGAAAGAUUUAUCGCCGAAGGAUUGGCCCGCGUUCGAUUAGCUAGUUGGUGUGGUAACGGCGCACCAAGGCGACGAUCGAUAGCUGGUCUGAGAGGAUGAUCAGCCACAUUGGGACUGAGACACGGCCCAAACUCCUACGGGAGGCAGCAGUGGGGAAUAUUGGACAAUGGGCGCAAGCCUGAUCCAGCCAUGCCGCGUGAGUGAUGACGGCCUUAGGGUUGUAAAGCUCUUUCGCUAGGGACGAUAAUGACGGUACCUAGACAAGAAGCCCGGCUAACUUCGCGCCAGCAGCCGC
rnacentral:rRNA from 1 species